UACGUAGGGACCGAGCGUUGUCCGGAAUCAUUGGGCGUAAAGCGCGUGUAGGCGGUUCGAUAAGUCUGCUGUGAAAGUCCAGGGCUCAACCCUGGAAAGUCGGUGGAUACUGUCAGACUAGAGUGCGGAAGAGGCGAGUGGAAUUCCCGGUGUAGCGGUGAAAUGCGCAGAUAUCGGGAGGAACACCAAUUGCGAAGGCAGCUCGCUGGGACGUUACUGACGCUGAGACGCGAAAGCGUGGGGAGCAAACAGG
rnacentral:rRNA from 1 species